rnacentral:rRNA from 1 species
GAUGGGAGCUUGCUCCCUGAUGUUAGCGGCGGACGGGUGAGUAACACGUGGGUAACCUGCCUGUAAGACUGGGAUAACUCCGGGAAACCGGGGCUAAUACCGGAUGGUUGUUUGAACCGCAUGGUUCAGACAUAAAAGGUGGCUUCGGCUACCACUUACAGAUGGACCCGCGGCGCAUUAGCUAGUUGGUGAGGUAACGGCUCACCAAGGCGACGAUGCGUAGCCGACCUGAGAGGGUGAUCGGCCACACUGGGACUGAGACACGGCCCAGACUCCUACGGGAGGCAGCAGUAGGGAAUCUUCCGCAAUGGACGAAAGUCUGACGGAGCAACGCCGCGUGAGUGAUGAAGGUUUUCGGAUCGUAAAGCUCUGUUGUUAGGGAAGAACAAG